rnacentral:rRNA from 1 species
UUCCGGUUGAUCCCGCCGGAGGCUACCGCUAUUGGAGUUCGAUUAAGCCAUGCGAGUCGCGAGAAAUUAGAUUCUCGGCGUACCGCUCAGUAACACGUGGGUAACCUGCCCUAUGCUGGAUAAUAACCUCGGGAAACUGAGAAUAAUGAUCCAUAGUUCACUACGCCUGGAACGGUGAGUGGAUGAAAGCUCCGGCGGCAUAGGAUGGGCCUGCGGCGUAUCAGGUUGUAGGGGGUGUAAAGUACCCUCUAGCCCUCUACGCGUACGGGUGUUGGGAGACAUAGCCCGGAGAUGGAUUCUGAGACACGAAUCCAGACCCUACGGGGUGCAGCAGGCGCGAAAACUUGGCAAUGCGAGCAAUCGUGACCAGGGAACUCCAAGUGCAUGGGGUAAGACCCAUGCUUUUCUUGACUCUAAAUAGGUCUUGGAAUAAGGGGUGGGUAAGGACGGUGCCAGCCGCCGCGGUAAUACCGGCGCCUCAAGUGGUAGUCGCUUUUAUUGGGCCUAAAACGUCCGUAGCCGGUCUGAUACAUUCGUGGGUAAAUCAACCAGCUUAACUGGUUGAAUUCUGCGAGGACGGUCAGACUUGGGACCGGGAGAGGUGUGGGGUACGCUCAGGGUAGGGGUAAAAUCCUGUCAUCCUGAGCGGACCACCUGUUGCGAAGGCGCCACACUAGAACGGAUCCGACGGUCAGGGACGAAGCCUAGGGGCACGAACCGGAUUAGAUACCCGGGUAGUCCUAGGUGUAAACGCUGUGGACUUGAUGUUGGGGGUGCUCCGAGCACUCUCAGUGUCGAAGCGAAGGUGAUAAGUCCACUGCCUGGGAAGUACGGUCGCAAGGCUGAAACUUAAAGGAAUUGGCGGGGGAGCACCGCAACCUGAGGAUUGUGCGGUUUAAUUGGAGUCAACGCCGG